UACGUAGGGUGCAGGCGUUAAUCGGAAUUACUGGGCGUAAAGCGUGCGCAGGCGGCUUCCUAAGUCAGAUGUGAAAUCCCCGGGCUCAACCUGGGACUGCGUUUGAAACUGGGAGGCUAGAGUGCGGCAGAGGGGGGUGGAAUUCCACGUGUAGCAGUGAAAUGCGUAGAUAUGUGGAGGAACACCGAUGGCGAAGGCAGCCCCCCUGGGCUAACACUGACGCUCAUGCACGAAAGCGUGGGGAGCAAACAGG
rnacentral:rRNA from 1 species